GAUGAACGCUGGCGGCGUGCCUAAUACAUGCAAGUCGAACGAAACUUCUUUAUCACCGAGUGCUUGCACUCACCGAUAAAGAGUUGAGUGGCGAACGGGUGAGUAACACGUGGGCAACCUGCCCAAAAGAGGGGGAUAACACUUGGAAACAGGUGCUAAUACCGCAUAACCAUAGUUACCGCAUGGUAACUAUGUAAAAGGUGGCUAUACUACCGCUUUUGGAUGGGCCCGCGGCGCAUUAGCUAGUUGGUAGGGUAAAGGCUUACCAAGGCGAUGAUGCGUAGCCGAAUUGAGAGGUUGAUCGGCCACAUUGGGACUGAGACACGGCCCAAACUCCUACGGGAGGCAGCAGUAGGGAAUCGUCCACAAUGGGCGAAAGCCUGAUGGAGCAACGCCGCGUGGGUGAAGAAGGUCUUCGGAUCGUAAAACCCUGUUGUUAGAGAAGAAAGUGCGUGAGAGUAACUGUUCACGUUUCGACGGUAUCUAACCAGAAAGCCACGGCUAACUACGUG
rnacentral:rRNA from 1 species